rnacentral:tRNA from 1 species
GGGGACGUAGCUCAGUGGUAGAGCAUUCGGCUCUUAACCGAAGUGUCGAGGGUUCGAGCCCCUCCGUCCUCACCA